rnacentral:ncRNA from 1 species
UACCUGAUUGAUUCUGUCAGCGCGAUAUGCUCAAGUAAAAGAUUAAGCCAUGCAUGCUUUGAUUCAUAAAUGAAAUUGCGUACGGCUCAUUAGAGCAGAUAUCACCUUUCUCGGAAUCCUGAAAAGGAUAACUGCGGAAAUUCUGGAGCUAAUACAUGCGACUAUACUCCAACGCAAGGCGGGGUGCAAUUAUUAGAACAGACCAAACGUUUUCGGACGUUGUUUGUUGACUCUGAAUACCGUCGUUUACUGUCAGUUUCGACUGACUCUAUCCGAGAAGGGUGUCUGCCCUUUCAACUAGAUGGUAAUCUAUUGGACUACCAUGGUUGUUACGGGUAACGGAGAAUUAGGGUUCGACUCCGGAGAGGGAGCCUUAGAAACGGCUACCACGUCCAAGGAAGGCAGCAGGCGCGAAACUUAUCCACUGUUGAGUAUGAGAUAGUGACUAAAAAUAUAAAGACUCAUCCUUUUGGAUGAGUUAUUUCAAUGAGUUGAAUAUAAAUUAUUCUUCGAGUAGCAAGGAGAGGGCAAGUCUGGUGCCACCAGCCGCGGUAAUUCCAGCUCUCCUAGUGU